AUGCAUCAGAGGUUGGACCCUGCACCAAAGACAAAUGUACAGAUUCUUCUUUCUUUUCCAUUUCUAAUAGAGAAGCCAAUUUUUGUUGACUCUGUUGGGUUUUCUUUUGUUCGAAAACUAGGAGGCUGAGAUUCCUAGGUUUGUCUCAGAAUGUAUGUACAAACAAGCGUGAUAACCAUCACAUCCAUUUGUGUGAGGUUGUCCAAUGCA
rnacentral:lncRNA from 1 species